rnacentral:ncRNA from 1 species
CAUAACAUAUUUUUACACCCAAAGUCCCCUUGAGCGGGGCUACAGUCCAUAGAAGGUGCUAGACCUGUACGGGUGAAAAAAGUUACGGUAGGUUAUUCCUUAGAGUCGGGUUGUUUGAGAUUGCAGCCCAAAGAAGGUGGUAAAUUUAUGCGACUAA